rnacentral:rRNA from 1 species
GAAUACCAGUAGCGAAGCGACUUACUGGCCUCUAACUGACGCUGAUGAACGAAAGCGUGGGUAGCAAACAGGAUUAGAUACCCUGGUAGUCCACGCCGUAAACGACGAGUGCUAGGUGUCGGGAGUCAAAUCUCGGUGCCGUAGUUAACGCAAUAAGCACUCCGCCUGGGGAGUACGUGCGCAAGCAUGAAACUCAAGGGAAUUGACGGGGACCCGCACAAGCAGCGGAGCAUGUGGUUUAAUUCGAAGCAACGCGAAGACCCUUACCAGGGCUUGACAUACUAGUGCCAAAUGUAGAGAUACAUUAUUUCUUCGGAACACUAAUACAGGUGGUGCAUGGUUGUCGUCAGCUCGUGUCGUGAGAUGUUGGGUUAAGUCCCGCAACGAGCGCAACCCCUAUGUUUAUUUGCCAGCAUUUUGGAUGGGAACUAUAGACAGACUGCCGAUAAGAAAUCGGAGGAAGGUGGGGAUGACGUCAAAUCAUCAUGCCCUAUAUGUCCUGGGCUACACACGUGCUACAAUGGUCGUUACAGAGAGCAGCUACACAGCGAUGUCACGCGAAUCUCAGAAAGGCGAUCUCAGUUCGGAUUGUACUCUGCAACUCGAGUACAUGAAGUCG